rnacentral:rRNA from 1 species
GUGCCAGCAGCCGCGGUAAUACGGAGGGUGCAAGCGUUAUCCGGAAUCAUUGGGUUUAAAGGGUCCGCAGGCGGGAAGAUAAGUCAGUGGUGAAAUCUCACAGCUCAACUGUGAAACUGCCAUUGAUACUGUCUUUCUUGAAUUCGAUCGAAGUGGGCGGAAUGUGACAUGUAGCGGUGAAAUGCUUAGAUAUGUCACAGAACACCGAUAGCGAAGGCAGCUCACUAGGUCUGGAUUGACGCUCAGGGACGAAAGCGUGGGGAGCAAACAGGAUUAGAUACCCCCGUAGUCC